ensembl:lncRNA
GUGCCAUUGUUGACCCCAAAGCGCCACUGAAGACCCCAAAGUGCCAUCAGUGACCCCAAAAGUGCCAUUGCCGACCCCAAGAAGGACAUUGGUGACCCUAAAAGGGACAUUGCUGACCCCAAAGUGGCCAUUUAUGACCCCAAAAGGGACAUUGCUGACCCCAAAGUGCCAUCGCUGACCCCAAAAGUGCCAUUUAUGACCCCACAAAGGACAUUGGUGACCCUAAAAGGGACAUUGGUGACCCUAAAAGGGACAUUGCUGACCCCAAAGUGCCACUGAAGACCCUAAAAGGGACAUCAGUGACCCCAAAGGUGCCAUUGCUGACCCCAAAGUGCCAUUGCUGACCCCAAGAAGGACAUUGGUGACCCUAAAAGGGACAUUGCUGACCCCAAAGCUCCAUCACUGACCCCAAAAAGGACAUUGAUGACCCCAAAAUGCCAUCGGUGACCCCAAAGCGCCACUGAUGACCCCAAAGGUGCCAUUGCUGACCCCAAAGUGCCACUGAAGACCCCAAGAAGGACAUUGGUGACCCUAAAAGGGACAUCAGUGACCCCAAAGGUGCCAUUGCUGACCCCAAAGUGCCAUUGCUGACCCCAAAGCGCCACUGAAGACCCCAAGAAGGACAUUGGUGACCCUAAAAGGGACAUGGGUGACCCCAAAGUGGCAAU